ensembl:lncRNA
CAAAGGUUCAAGUAGGCAGAAAGGAAUAAAAAUUUGCUCGAGUCAGUCUUCUGCAAGAUUGGACAAGAGAGAUCAUUAUGGAAAGAGAUCAUUAGAGCAUUUUCUCUCAUAGACUAAUUUUUCUGUGCAUAUGCCCUGGAAUUGUUAACUCAAAGUGUGGAUUCCUCCUGGUUCACCUGGAAGUCUUCUCUUUUUCCAAUACCUGACUUUGCAUCAUAAAACUUCAUCUGCUGUCAGAGGUGUACCCACAAAAAAGCAAAGAGUAUGUGACUAAAGAGUGAUUAUGAGCUCAAAGGUGCAGCACUGCAGUGGAGCUCAGAGGAGAUGACAUUUACUGAGAAGGAACCACACGCUAAGCAUCCUGUUUCAUUGUCCCAACAGCACACAGAGGUGGAUACUGCUGGUAACCAGUUCUUUUACAGAAGAGUAAACCAGAGUUCUGUGAGAUGCCAUGUAUGGAUGACAGCCAGGAGCAGAAUGAAGAAAGCACCAUUAUGCUACUGCACAGCUGGCUUCAAAACAAAACAAAUAAAAAUAAGC